rnacentral:rRNA from 1 species
AUUGAACGCUAGCGUCAGGCCUAACACAUGCAAGUCGAACGCGGGGAGGACGGGUGUGUACUGUCGGGGAAACUGCACGAUGGAGGGGGAUAACGACUGUAAAAGGUAGCUAAUACCGCAUACCCUCGGAUGUGCCCAGAGGGGAUUAGCUAGGAGGUGGGGGAACGGCUCACCACGGCGCCGAGCCAGAGCUGUUCUGAGAGGAUGACCAGCCACACUGGAACUGAGACACGGUCCAGACUCCUACGGGAGGCAGCAGUGGGGAAGAGUGCACAAUGGGCGUAAGCCUGAUGCAGCCAUGCCGCGUGUAUGAAGAAGGCCUUCGGGUGGUAAAGUACUUUCAGCGAGGAGGCGUUACUCGCAGAAGAAGCACCGGCUAACUCCGUGCCAGCAGCCGCGGUAAUUC